AGCAAUUAUGAACCGGAUUGUCCCCCGAGUCUCGAAUUUGUGAAAAUAACUUGAUUGGUUAUAUUACCCUCGCUGCUCGUAUGGCGUUCACCUUCGCUGAGGCCACCGCUCAAGUCCACCAGGGCGUUGGAUCCUUUCUCUCUCACGCCCUCCGGUCGGUGGAGACGGAAGGAUAUAAAAUCUGUAACCCUAGAUUUCGAUUGUUUUCUCGCGAAGAAACCUCGAUGAGAUCUACCUUACAUCGAAGCUAGGAUCGGAUUUCUCCAAGCGUGUGGGAGCUUUUCUUUCCCAAGAUUCAUCCAGCCAAUGGAGCUCCGUCGCCGAUCUAGGGUUUCUGUGGCGUUCUUGAUCUCUCUCCUCCUCGUCCUGAGCUUCGCCGGAGACUUGUGCUUUGCCGAGAACCGUCGGCUGAAGAACGUCCAGGUUUCGCUCCGGGCUAAGUGGACCGGCACUCCGUUGCUGUUGGAAGCCGGGAAGAAGACUUGGGAAUACUUGGGAAAUCUGCUGGUACGAGUGCAAUAGUUAACUUAUGAAAAAGUAGGGGACUAAGAUUUUCUUUUCCCCUUCCUGAACAAAUGAAAUUUCAAAGAAAUCAAAAGUAGGCUUGCCUGAUGGAAUCUGGAUGCUUGCCCUAGCCAAGAACUGGCUGUUGGUGGUAAGUAAAGAGAAUUGCUCUCUGAAGAAUGGAAAACCUGUUUUGGGAGUUUACUGAUCUCUGGCUAGAACCAGAUAAAGGCUCAUAUUGUUUGACAGCCAAAUGCUGCAUUCACAAAAUUGUCCAUGAUGGGCUCUCUCUUCUAAGUGAACCCUUGGGAUCAGUUUUUGAAUUUUCUCUUAUGCUUCGGUCAGUAUCUCCUAGACUAGUGCUCUACCGGCAGUUGGCGGAGGAUUCUUUAUCUUCUUAUCCUUCUGACGACGAAACCAACUCAGAACAUGUUAUGGGAGACUUGUCUGAGCCAAUUUCAAGAGUCAAGGCAGAGCCUUUUCUCAUAAGCAGAAACCUGAGAAGCCCUGAAGGAAGUUGCUUCUGGGUACAUACCGGUAGUGGACUACUGUUCAAUGUUACUGAACUUCUUUCAUGGCUUGACACUUCAGCCAAACUGGAGGUUAUAUGUUUAUUUGGAUUUCUUCAGAGCUGUGGGAUCUGCUGAAUAGGCUGAACUUUUUGAUUUUGAUCACAUAUAUUUUGGUUCAAGUAUUGCCAGUCCAGUUGCUAUUCUAUAUGGAGCUCUUGGACCAGAAUUCUUUAAAGAGUUUCAUGUUACCUUGGUGGAAGCAACAAAAAAAGGUAUUAACUAAUGGCCAUUAUUUAUUUUAUAUGAACAACAGUGAACACAUUCCUGUCUCAGUUAGAAUAAGAUGGCAUAUUGCAAUUAACAAUGUUGGCACAUACACAUUGUUAAGAAAAAACUGCAAAACCAAUCUCUUUCCUUGCAUGAGAUAUGAUCACUCUAUAAAAUUUAAACUCACUGGUUGUUCCAUUGAUGUGUCCUUAACAUGCUCGUUAGUUUUCUACGUCAAAUUUUAAUGAAAUGUAACACAUCUAGUGUUAUCAUGGAAGAUUUACAAUUACUUGAUUAUAUGAAAGUUUUGAUGUUUGUUUGGUUGGAGUGACUGCAUAGGAUGACUAACUCACAGAAAUUUAUGGGAAAUAGAGAGGGAAAGAAGUACUGAUGGGGAAGAGAUAGGGGUGGAGGGAAACUUUUGAUGCAUGUUUGAUCAAGGACAUGAAAUCAAUGUUUGAGCUGAAAUGGGUAGUCAAAGCCUGGACCAAGGAAGCAAGCCAGGCUUCCUGGAUUGGACCAGUGAGGUACCUGUACCUGGGAUGCCCUUGGUACCUGGGUCUUUGUGAAGAAGUUGCAACCUGGUUGGUACGAUUCUAUGCUGACCGGUACCAACUAGGACAGGACCAGCACCAGCUGGUUCUGCCUGUUACUGGGUUGUACUGACUCAAAAUGUUCAUUUUUACUUUCUAUUUGUUCUCCUUUUGUUUACUCAUAGAUAUCAUAUAUCAUGUCUUGCAAUGCCUUUUUAGUAUAAUAAUUACGGCAUUCUAUUAGUUUGAGGCCCAACCUUCAGAUUUGCCAUUAUGUGGACUUGAAACUUAUUUUUUAUUAGUCAUCUCAUUCUUACUAAAUGAAAACAACUUAACAUACAGUUUCCUUUAUUAUGUUGGUAACUUUUUUCAGUUUGUCUGCUCUUAGCCAUUAUAUUUACUCUCUUUCUAGAUUCACUGUCAGAACUUUGCUGCCCUGUUCUUUUUAUUUCUUGUUUAAAUGUGUUUUCUGUUGUUCUUAAGAAAAAAUUAAAUACGUAGUCAGACCUGUGUUGCCUUCUGGAUGUCAAGCAGCGAGCAGCUAUUGUAGUGCUGUUGGUUCUUUGGAUGUAGUAGGGUUGGGUAUGGUGUGGAACUUGCUUUGAAGAGCAUGGAGUACAAAGCUAUGGAUGAUAGCACAGUAAAGAAAGGUCAUUUCAGGACUUUCAGUAAAAUGCUAUAUGCCUAAUUUUCAAAUGCUGGCUUUUUCCUUCCUUAUCAGUGGUAUCCAAAAUUAGCAACAACUGACUUUUUUUAUGACAUUGAAGUUUCAUAGGUUUUUUCUUGUAUAUCUGUUUGCAGACUUGAUGAUAGAUAUACUUUAAUUUGCACUCUUUUAUGCAUCAGUUCAACCUGCUACUCCAACUGAUGUGCCACUUUAGACCAAUCAAUUUUUUUUUGUGGUUAGGCUUUCAUUUGGAUUACAUUUUAGCUGAUGUCGUUGGAUUGCUCACUUCUCGUAUAUGUUGUGCUUAAGUUUUUGGAAAACUCUCAAGAAAUAGUGCCUUGACCUUGUUGCCUAUUACAUUUGUACUCUAUCAUUUCUUUUCUCGCUUUAUUUGGAAUGGUUGUGUUGCUUUUGUUAAAUAUACUUUUUAAUUCACCCAUAAGUCACAGUAGAAUUUUGAUUUCAACGAACUAGCCAAAAUGCUGUACUUCCAUUGAAGUCAUAAUAUAUAUUAUGGAAUAAGUACACUAAUGGGUGUCAAUAUGAAGUGGUGUAUGUGAAGCUUUAAUUCACCAAAGUGAUGGCAAUUUCAGAGAUGACACUAGAAAUUUAAAUGCUGUAGCAUCUCUUAUUAAAAUCUGAUCAUAGUCUAUGUUAAAUUGUUAUUAUUUAAGCCUAAAAGCUGCCAUUAACAAAGCCACAGAAUAAACAAUCUCUAAUUGAAUGGUUUCCCCUAGUUGUUUAAUUCUGUUUUAUGCUGCUUAAAUAUUUUGAAAUGAUCUAAUGGCCUAGAAGUUGCAGGUGUGUAAUCGGUGAUUAACUUUUGAGAAUUAUUUUGCAAAAAAUUAAUUUUAUCUUAUAGAAUGAAGAACAUAUAUUUAGAAUAAUUUUGGAAAUGCCACUUUUACUCUUUAGUUUAUUGCUCAAAAAUUGUUAACAGUCUUGAUUUUUGGUCAGCCAAACACCAUUGAUAGCCCACUGGAACCCGCUGUCUUUGCUGUGACAUUAGGUGAAGCUCUGCCCUGUGGGAAGUGGUAUCUCUAUCACCAGACUGACCGGCUUGAGACUUUGAAUCCUGUGCCUUGCAACUAAUGCAUCUGAAAGAGGUCCAUGCAUGCAUGCAUUAUUUGAUAGGUGUGCUUAUGCCUGCAUGUGGGCCUUUGUGCAUAUGCAGAUAUGUACGUACGUACAUGUGUAUGUAUGUAUCACUGUAUAUAUGUAUGCAUAUGUAUAUGUGUGUAUGUAUGUAUUGUGUAUGGUCCGUAUAGACGACAUGCACAGACGUGGGCCUUAGCACAUGCAUGCACACUCGUUUGACAACACUGGCUAUUAUCAUGCCAACCAUUAAGAAAUGGAGCUUUUUCUUUUGUAUUCUUAUUAUUUUUUUGAAAAUCUUGCUUCCUUUAUGUCUGUAUUGCAGGUGUUACUGUAGAAGAUCCUAGGACUGAGGAUCUCAGUCAAGAAGUUAGAGGAUUUAUAUUUUCCAAAAUCUUGGAACGCAAGCCAGAGGUGACUGCUGAGUAAUGGCUUUCAGGGAUUAUUUAUUAUCAUCAACAAUAUCAGACACGCUGGAAGUUUGGGAAUUGAAGGGUAUUGGUUGUGAUGAUUGGUGCAUGAUAAUAGCUGUAUACAGCAUGUCAUCUGUGCUUGAUGUAGGACAUCAAACAGCACAAAGGAUAGUGCAUGCAUCAGACCCUCUACAGUCAAUGCAAGAAAUCAAUCAAAAUUUUCCUAGUAUAGUUUCUUCAUUAUCUUGCAUGAAGGUACAAGCUUCUGUUAGACACUCGUUAAAUUUGUAGGCAUAUAUGAUAUCUUUGUUAUUUCUGUCAGCUAACAUAUGCUUAAGCUAUAUGCAGCUUAAUGAUUCUGUUAAGGAUGAAAUACAUGUGAAUCAGCAAAUGGUUCCUCUUGGCAAGUCAUUAAUGGUUUUGAAUGGUGCUUUAAUCAAUAUUGAAGAUAUCAAUCUUUACCUAUAAUGUUUUCUUCCUCCACCAUUAGCUCUGAUAUCUCACCUUAUUCUUAGAGAACAAACUGGGUUAUAUCAACUUUGGGAUUUGAGUGGUUGUACUUUAUACCUUGGUUUCUCAUUUUUGUGACCUUUUUUGCAUUUUUGUUAUGCCUUUUUUUGACACUCUUUUGCAUUAAACGCCAGUUGAUUAAAGCUUAUCAAAAUAAAUAAUAUUUUAGUUCUUUACCUACUGGCCCUAACUCUUCUAUUCUGGAGUACCACUUCGGCUCGAUGAUUCUAUACUUAUAAGAUGUCAUAUGACAAAUAAUCAGUCAAAAUAUUGUCUUUUUGUUUUUGAUUCAUCAUAGUCACUUGCACAUGUGCAUAGUGCUUAAGUUCUUACUCAAAUACAGUCUUUGAAUCCAUUACUCGGAAAACCAUGUUUAGCCUUGCUGGUUUACUUGCUCUUUAUGUAUAAUUCAUGUUUCUUGGUAGCCAAUGGUCUUCCCAAUGUAUGGUAGGGGUACAAAUGUACCGAGCAGCUCGAGCUCGACUUGACUAUUACCGAGUUCGAGUAGCUCAACUAGUUUUUCGAGUCAAGCUCAAGUAGCAAAAUACUUGACUUAAUAGCUCAUGAGCCUAGACGAGUAUAUAUAUUUUUAAUAAUAUUAUAUUUUAGAGUUUUUUGCAUGGAUACCCUUCUAAAUAUCGGAUUUUGCAUGAAUACUCUUCCAAAAUUGAUAUUUGCGUGUAUACCCUCGUAAAACUCUAUUAUUGUUCAAAUGCCCUUGAUAUAACUGUUGUUUUAAUGAAAUUAAGAAAAAUCAUUUUUAUAUUAAUUAAAAAUAAAAUAAAAUUUUGAAAUUAUACUAUUGUCCCUGUCUUCUUCCUGCUAUCGGGAUCGCGAUCCCGCGACUCAGACAAGAUGGUGCUCAUGGACUGGAGGGACUCGCAUUUGGGCAAUGAGCCUUGCUUGAGGCAUCGGAACGAUAAGCUCCCGACGUUCCUUUAUGCCAUGCCCUUCAACUCUGAUGCUCCCAACCUCUUCCUUGCUUGGACUGGAGUUGCCUUUGUGCACUAGACACGACCUCUUCCUUUAAAAUGCCCCUAACCUUGCUUCCGAAGAAGGGAGAGAAGGGAAGAGUGUUUGAUGGUGGGUUUGAGUGUUCUUUUGGAAGCCCAGAAGAACUUUCAAAGAACACCCAAAUCCUCAGCAAGACCUCCGUUCUCCGAAACUCUUCUCUCUCCUCCAUUCCAUCUCCAAUUCCCCCUCCUCCUAAUUCCUUCCCCACAAGCCCUUUUCUGGAGUUCUGCUACCUUUGCCGCAGAAGACUCCAAGAAGGGAAGGACAUCUAUAUGUACAGGGGUGACAGGGCAUUCUGCAGCGUGGAGUGCCAGUGCAAGCAGAUAUGCAUGGAUGAGGAAAGUGGGAGGAGGGACAACUUUUCCCUCGCCGCUGUAGGGGUCGGAGCGCCGGCGUCACACCAACGGGGGCGGGUGAUGGCCGGGGGCUUCGUGUAUUAAGGCGAGCGGGGAUUGGAGGAGCCCAUGGUUUUGUGAUUUUGGGGUGUGCUAGCUGCUAGCUUAUAGUACAAAUAUCCAAUAUGUUGUAUGUUGGUGGGAGAAGUAGAUUGCUGGAUCGAAAAAAAAAUGAGACAACAUAUUUCUGCUGCUGCGAGCUCUGAUGAUGGUUUUGUUUGGAAGUGGGCGGGAUCUUGGAAGGGACAGAGGCGAUCUCACUUGCGGCUUACGAUUCCAAUUCCACUUGUGGCUAGCGAUUGCGAGUCGCGAACGUCCACGGGAUUGCGAUCGCGAUCCCAAUAGCAGAAAGAAGAUAGGGACAAUAAUGUAAUUUCAAAAUUUUAUUUUAUUUUUAAUUAAUAUAAAAAUAUUUUUUUAA